UAAAUAAGGGAUUGUAGCUCCCCCAAGGU
rnacentral:piRNA from 1 species